rnacentral:rRNA from 1 species
GCCUGGUAGUGGGGGAUAACGUCCGGAAACGGACGCUAAUACCGCAUACGUCCUACGGGAGAAAGCAGGGGACCUUCGGGCCUUGCGCUAUCAGAUGAGCCUAGGUCGGAUUAGCUAGUUGGUGGGGUAAUGGCUCACCAAGGCGACGAUCCGUAACUGGUCUGAGAGGAUGAUCAGUCACACUGGAACUGAGACACGGUCCAGACUCCUACGGGAGGCAGCAGUGGGGAAUAUUGGACAAUGGGCGAAAGCCUGAUCCAGCCAUGCCGCGUGUGUGAAGAAGGUCUUCGGAUUGUAAAGCACUUUAAGUUGGGAGGAAGGGCAGUAAAUUAAUACUUUGCUGUUUUGACGUUACCGACAGAAUAAGCACCGGCUAACUCUGUGCCAGCAGCCGCGGUAAUACAGAGGGUGCAAGCGUUAAUCGGAAUUACUGGGCGUAAAGCGCGCGUAGGUGGUUCGUUAAGUUGGGAUGUGAAAUCCCCGGGCUCAACCUGGGGAACUGCAUUCAAAACUGACGAGCUAGAGUAUGGUAAGAGGGUGGUGGAAUUUCCUGUGUA